rnacentral:rRNA from 1 species
GGGAGCUUGCUCCCUGGAUCAGUGGCGAACGGGUGAGUAACACGUGGGCAAUCUGCCCCUGAUUCUGGGAUAACUACUCGAAAGAGUGGCUAAUACCGGAUACUCACGCUGGGAGGCAUCUUCCGGCGUGGAAAGCUCCGCGAUCAGGGAUGAGCCCGCGGCCUAUCAGCUAGUUGGUGGGGUAGUGGCCCACCAAGGCGACGACGGGUAGCCGGCCUGAGAGGGCGACCGGCCACACUGGGACUGAGACACGGCCCAGACUCCUACGGGAGGCAGCAGUGGGGAAUAUUGCUCAAUGGGCGCAAGCCUGAAGCAGCAACGCCGCGUGAGGGAUGAAGGUCUUCGGAUUGUAAACCUCUUUCAGCAGGGACGAAGCGAAAGUGACGGUACCUGCAAAAGAAGCACCGGCUAACUACGUGCCAGCAGCCGCGGUGAUACGUAGGGUGCAAGCGUUGUCCGGAUUUAUUGGGCGUAAAGAGCUCGUAGGCGGUUCAUCACGUCGAAUGUGAAAACUCGGGGCUUAACCCCGAGCCUGCAUUCGAUACGGGUGGACUCGAGUAUGGUAGGGGAGACUGGAAUUCCU